rnacentral:rRNA from 1 species
UACGGGGGGGGCAAGCGUUGUUCGGAAUUACUGGGCGUAAAGGGUUCGUAGGUGGCCAACUCAGUCAGACGUGAAAUCCCUCAGCUCAACUGGGGAACUGCGUCUGAUACUAGAUGGCUUGAGUGCAGGAGAGGAACGCGGAAUUCCAGGUGUAGCGGUGAAAUGCGUAGAUAUCUGGAGGAACACCGGUGGCGAAGGCGGCGUUCUGGACUGCAACUGACACUGAGGAACGAUAGCCAGGGGAGCAAACGGG